rnacentral:tRNA from 1 species
CACUAAGAAGCUAUCAGAGCAUUAACCUUUUAAGUUAAAGAUCGAGAGUUUAAACCUCUCCUUAGUGA